CCGCCCUUGGUUACAAAAACAUGUCCUUUUGAUUUAUGAUUUAAGGUCAGGCCUGCCCAAUGAUUAUUUAAAUGGCCGCAGUAUAUUGACUGUGCAAAGGUAGCAUAAUCAUUAGUUUCUUAAUUAGAAGCUGGAAUGAAUGGUUUGAUGAGAAAUUAACUGUCUUAAAUUAAAUGUAUUAGAACUUUAUUUUUAAGUGAGAAAGCUUAAAUUUUUUAGAAAGACGAGAAGACCCUAUAGAGUUUGAUGUUUGUUUAAAUAAAGUAUUUAAGGUUUAUUAUUAUAUUUUAUUUUUUAUAGCAUUUUGUUGGGGUGACAUAAAAAUUUAAAUAACUUUUUAUUAUUUUAACAUUGAUGGAUGAAUUUUUGAUCCUAAUAUUUAGAUUACAAGAUAAAAUUACCUUAGGGAUAACAGCGUAAUUUCUUUUGAAAGUUCUUAUUGAUAAAGAAGUUUGCGACCUCGAUGUUGGAUUAAAAUUAAUUUUUGGUGUAGCA
rnacentral:rRNA from 1 species